ensembl:snRNA U6 U6 spliceosomal RNA
GUGCUCACUUUGGCAGCACAUAUACUGCAACUGGAACCAUACAGAGAUUAGCAUGGACCCUGUGCAAGGAUGACACGCAAAUUCAUGAAGCAUUCCAUAUUUUU